UGGGUACAGCUGCUAUGCAGAUUAUACAUAUGGGUCCCUGGGGUGGAGCAAUUGGAGAGCAGGGUGGGCCAAUGCUCCAUUUCCCCAUUCUGUGGAAACUCCAUGCCGGGUUUUCCAGGAGGCAAGAAAUCUGCAGGAUCCGGUCCGGGAUUUCUAUGAGGCCGGCGUCAGGCCCAGGUGCUGGGCAUUAAAAACCCCUGGAGCCUGAUACUCAGAGAGACUGUUGGGGGAAGAGGAAGUUCCCUGUGCUCCCAGGGCAAGGAGAGGCUCUGAAGAAGACCAUCCCUGAGCCAAGUGAGGCAAUACCUGCCUGGACAUUGUGUGUGCUGUCUGGGGGAGGUUUUCCAGAGCCUGGUGUAGCUGGGUCUGGCUGGGAGGUUGAGAUAGUGGGUGAUUAGGCUGGUCAGUCUAGACCAGCGUAGUUUAGUUAGAGAGGGCUCCAAUUGGGAGCUAGGUUUUCUUUUUAUUAUUUGUUUUUUGGGGUUUGAGCGAUUAAAAAUAAAGCGCUAUUUUGUUCAAAGCUGCUGUUCCUGACUCUGAUUGCCCUAGAGGACUGUGCUUAGGACCCCUAAAAAGUGACAUAAUGCGGGCAAAGCACUGCUAUGGUCUGUGGGCAGAAAGCAGGAACCAA